rnacentral:rRNA from 1 species
UACGUAGGGUGCGAGCGUUAAUCGGAAUUACUGGGCGUAAAGCGUGCGCAGGCGGUUUGGUAAGACAGAUGUGAAAUCCCCGGGCUUAACCUGGGAAUUGCAUUUGUGACUGCCCGGCUAGAGUUUGGCAGAGGGGGGUAGAAUUCCACGUGUAGCAGUGAAAUGCGUAGAUAUGUGGAGGAAUACCGAUGGCGAAGGCAGCCCCCUGGGUCAAGACUGACGCUCAGGCACGAAAGCGUGGGGAGCAAACAGG